rnacentral:lncRNA from 1 species
CGUGUGAAUGUUUUUACAGAAUUUUGUGACACAAGCUCACAUGAAUAAUCAAUUCCUGUCAUUAUUAUUUUAUAAUUUUGAUAUGUGGAACAUGAAUAUAUGCCUGAGCCUAAAGGACAUUCCCUGGACUCUUUAUUCCAUCAACAUUAGUGCCUGGAACUCACUUCCAUAUGCAGCCUCUCCUCCUGUGUAGCUAACAAUGUCACCUCCAUGGGUAUCUCAGUGAGUAGGUAAACAACCAAAUCUAAAUGCUAUCUUAGCCUUUGAUGAGUCACAGACCCCUUGCAGUGUGUCAUUUGGGGUGGGGGGCAUGUCCUACGAAAAAUCUCAAAUGGUAUUUUAUUAGUUCAUUACCUUUAACCAGGCCAGGUAUGGGGGCAAGGGGGCUUGAUGAAGGGUUGUUGGGCCAAGCCAGGCCAGGGUUGGGCUCUUGUGGGGGCUAAUGCCCCUCAGUGGUGGAGGGGGACCAGGUCUUUGUCCCAGUGGAGGGGAUUACACCGGCGGGGCGGCCCUAACAAUGUCUCCCCUCCUGGGAGGGCUGGGCAAACCUGCUCCCCCCAAUGACGGGUGUGGUCAACUGCUCACUGACUCAGUUAAACACAGUGAGAGAGAGGAGGAGAAGAGAGGGAUAGGAGGAGGAGAUGAAUGGAGGGGAGAGAGAAGAAUGAGCAGCAUGGAGUGAUACUCAACAAGGGUAACAGGGUAACAGAGAAGGAGAAAGUGGAGAGGAGAGGAUGGAGGUUGGAGAAGAAGAGGGUGGAGGUUGGAGGAGGAGAGGGUGGAGGUUGGAGGAGGAGAGGAUGGAGGUUGGAGGGGGAACGAGUUAAGGUUGGAGGAGGAGAGGAUGGGGUAGGAGGAGGAGAGGAUGGAGGUUGGAGGAGGAGAGGAUGGAGGUUGGAGGAGGAGAGGAUUAAGGUAGGAGGAGGAGAGGAUGGAGGUAGGAGGGAGAGCGAGUUAAGGUUGGAGGAGGAGAGGAUGGAGGUUGGAGGAGGAGAGGAUGGAAGUUGGAGGAGGAGAGGAUGGAGGUUGGAGGGAGAGCGAGUUAAGGUUGGAGGAGGAAAGGAUGGAGGUUGGAGGAGGAGAGGAUGGAAGUUGGAGGAGGAGAGGAUGGAGGUUGGAGGAGGAGAGGAUGGAGGUUGGAGGAGGAGAGGAUGGAGGUUGGAGGGAGAGCGAGUUAAGGUUGGAGGAGGAGAGGAUGGAGGUUGGAGGAGGAGAGGAUGGAAGUUGGAGGAGGAGAGGAUGGAGGUUGGAGGAGGAGAGGGUGGAGGUUGGAGGAGGAGAGGAUGGAGGUUGGAGGAGGAGAGGUUGGCGGGAGGAGGAGGAGAGGAUGGAGGUUGGAGGAGGAGAGGAUGGAGGUUGGAGGUUGGAGGAGGAGAGGAUGGAGGUUGGAGGAGGAGAGGAUGGAGGUUGGAGGAGGAGAGGAUGGAGGUUGGAGGAGGAGAGGAUGGAGGUUGGAGGAGGAGAGGAUGGAGGUUGGAGGGAGAGCGAGUUAAGGUUGGAGGAGGAGAGGAUGGCGGUAGGAGGAGGAGAGGAUGGAGGUUGGAGGAGGAGAGGAUGGAGGUAGGAGGAGGAGAGGAUGGAGGUUGGAGGAGGAGAGGAUGGAGGUAGGAGGAGGAGAGGAUGGAGGUUCGAGGAGGAGAGGAUGGAAGUAGGAGGAGGAGAGGAUGGAGAUAGGAGGAGGAGAGGAUGGAGGUAGGAGGGGGAGAGGGUGGAGGUUGGAGGAGGAGAGGAUGGAAGUAGGAGGAGGAGAGGAUGGAGGUAGGAGGAGGAGAGGAUGGAGGUAGGAGGAGGAGAGGGUGGAGGUAGGAGGGGGAGAGGGUGGAGGUUGGAGGAGGAGAGUAUUAAGGUAGGAGGAGGAGAGGAUGGAGGUAGGAGGAAGAGAGGGUGAAAGGAUCAGGUGUGGUAGGAGGAGGAGAGGGUGAAAGGAUCAGGUGUGGUAGGAGGAGGAGAGGAUGAAAGGAUCAGGUGUGGUAGGAGGAGGAGAGGAUGAAAGGAUCAGGUGUGGUAGGAGGAGGAGAGGAUGAAAGGAUCAGGUGUGGUAGGAGGAGGAGAGGAUGAAAGGAUCAGGUGUGGUAGGAGGGAAAGGAGACCAGUGGCUCAAAGAACAAGAAGAUAAAUAAAGGAGUGAAGGAGAAGAGCGGAAUGGUGAGCUAGGUGAGGAUGACUCUGCAGGUACUGGAUGUAAAAUGUGUAAGUCUGAGGCCUUUCCUUAUGUACUUCAAUAUCAAAGUCCUCAUUAUGCCCACGCACACCGCCCAUUCAAAUCCAAUGACAAAUGCACCAGAUAAUUCCAUUAGGGGGGACUUCUAUAGAGGAUAUUUAGGGGACAGUAGAGAAAUCCAGGUAACAUAGCUCAACGCGGGCAAAGACAGAUAUGGCUCCGUAACACUUAUCAGGGAUUUGGCAGCCCUGUUGAUUGAACAUGCCAAGUCCCAUUUGUCGGAGGGGUGUGCACGUUUGUAUCGACACGCUGUAACCUUGUGGCUCCACAGAAGGAGACAUCAGAUGUGCUGCUAGCGGGCACACAGGCAGACAGGCAGGCAAGCAGGAGAGGGUGGGUGGGUUGGUAGGCUCCCCUCCUCUUCCCUUCUCUCUACUUCUCUCUCUCCUACUCUCUUCUCCUCUUCCGGCUGCAGUGGACAGGAGCCCCCCUCCUCCAUCCCCAGUGGACGGGAGCCCCCCUCCUCCCUCCAUCCCCAG